rnacentral:rRNA from 1 species
CUAAGCAUAUAACUAAGCGGAGGAAAAGAAACUAACAAGGAUUCCCCUAGUAACGGCGAGUGAAGCGGGAAGAGCUCACGGUGAAAAUCGAGCCCUCGGGCCCGAAUUGUAGUCUGAAGAGGCGAGGCCUGCCACUGUCCGUGGCCAAGUCUGAUUGGAAAUGAGCAUCAUGGAGGGUGACAAUCCCGUUCAUGUCGCGGUAUCGAUCAGUGCGCAGAAGGCCCGUUUUCUACGAGUCGAGUUGCUUGGGAUUGCAGCUCAAAGCGGGUGGUAAACUCCAUCGAAAGCUAAAUAUGGGGGGGAGACCGAUAGCGAACAAGUACCGUGAGGGAAAGAUGCAAAGAACUUUGAAAAGAGAGUUAAAGAGUGCCUGAAAUUGCUGGAAGGGAAGCGAAGGAAAGAGGUGUGCGGUAGUCGGAGCGCCAACCCCCAUCUGCCUUCGUGGUGUGGGGGUAGGCCGCUUCGCCGCGGUCAGGGGUAGCGCUUGGGUCGCGUGAGGAUCCGUGCGGGAUCGGUAGCCCUCCCCUCUCGGGGAGGGUGUCAGGCCUGCACGGCACCGCGUCGCGGCUUCCCGGCCCCCUUUUCUGGCGGUUGCCGCUUUUCUUCACCCCGUCUU